CAUUGAGUUGGGAUUUACAGUUAGUAGUCUCCAAAUCAUCAACCGGUACUAACAGUUUAGUUAAAGUUUACUUAAUUUCAUUUUUAUUUUUUAAAUAUGAAUACCAUGUAUAAGUUGAUGUUAUUAACCUUUGGUUUGGUGUUAUUAAGUUUGGAAUUUGUUCAAUCUCAAAAUAUUCCAGUGGUGAUCAAACAAAUAGGAUGUGGGACAUAUUGUCAUACUGUGAAAUGUGCCCCGCAGACUAUUGGCGACUGUAAGCCUAAUCAAGUCCUCAUCGGGGCUGAUCACGAUUGUUAUUGUUGUGAUCGGUGCAUAGAUUCAGAAAAAUCUGAUGUUGAGUGCAAUCCCGAUGACUGCAACCUAGUCGAUUGCAACCCAAAAAUAACUCCAAGAUACUGCUUGGACAUCGGAAAAGCAUUCGCCAAAAAAGACAGAAUCUGUAAAUGCUGCGAUAUGUGUAUUACUCCUGUUAAAAAAUGCACAAAGCCUAGAAGCUAACCAUCGUUCAUAAAAUACAACAAUAAUGAAUGCGA